AGAGUCCUACAUCGAAGGAGUAGCGAUCCACGGUGGCCCCGAGUCAUGCGUUGGCGUCCGUGAGGGCGGCGGCGAAGCGUUGACAGGGGUCCGUGCAGGCUGGGCUAAUGAGCCGCGAAAUCAAGGAGUUCGGGGUGCCGACGUUGUUAAGCAAUGCGGAAGGCAACAUCGCUGGCGGCGUUAUCGCGAGUCGUCAGCGGACCCCGCGCGGUCGAAGAACC
rnacentral:ncRNA from 1 species